AACGAACGCUGGCGGCAGGCCUAACACAUGCAAGUCGAACGCUCCGCAAGGAGAGUGGCAGACGGGUGAGUAACGCGUGGGAACGUGCCCUUUGGUUCGGAAUAUUCCCGGGAAACUGGGAGCAAUACCGGAUAAGCCCUUCGGGGGAAAGAUUUAUCGCCAAAGGAUCGGCCCGCGUCAGAUUAGCUAGCUGGUGAGGUAAUGGCUCACCAAGGCUACGAUCUGUAGCUGGUCUGAGAGGAUGAUCAGCCACACUGGGACUGAGACACGGCCCAGACUCUUACGGGAGGCAGCAGUGGGGAAUCUUGGACAAUGGGCGCAAGCCUGAUCCAGCCAUGCCGCGUGGAUGAUGAAGGCCCUAGGGUUGUAAAAUCCUUUCGACGGGGAAGAUAAUGACGGUACCCGUAGAAGAAGCUCCGGCUAACUUCGUGCCAGCAGCCGCCGUAA
rnacentral:rRNA from 1 species